rnacentral:rRNA from 1 species
AUACGGAGGGGGUUAGCGUUGUUGGGAAUUACUGGGCGUAAAGCGUACGUAGGCGGAUCAGAAAGUUGGGGGUGAAAUCCCGGGGCUCAACCCCGGAACUGCCUCCAAAACUCCUGGUCUUGAGUUCGAGAGAGGUGAGUGGAAUUCCGAGUGUAGAGGUGAAAUUCGUAGAUAUUCGGAGGAACACCAGUGGCGAAGGCGGCUCACUGGCUCGAUACUGACGCUGAGGUACGAAAGUGUGGGGAGCAAACAGGAUUAGAAACCCUAGUAGUCC